rnacentral:rRNA from 1 species
GAUGAACGCUGGCGGCGUGCCUAACACAUGCAAGUCGAGCGAACAGACGAUGCUUUUGCGCGUCUCACGUUAGGGGCGGGCGGGUGAGUAACAUGAGUAUAACCUACCUAUAAGACUGGGAUAACCACGGGAAACCGGAUCAAACACCGGAGAAGAUCCUGAAGCGCGGGGGUCAAUGGAGAAAUACGGCUGUGCUGGCUCUAAUAGAGGCUUCCCCGCCGGUUGGGCUAGUUGGUAAGGAAACGGCUUACCAAGGCGAGGAUGCGUAGCCGCCCUGACAGGGUGAUCGGCCACACUGGAACUGGGACACGGUCCAGACUCCUACGGGAGGCAGCAGUAGGGAAUCUUGCGCAAUGGGCGGAAGCUUGACCGAGCAACGCCGCGUGCGUGAUGAAGGUCUUCGGAUCGUAAAGCACUGUUAUUGGGGAGGAACCAAUGUGUGCGUAUCUCUGCGCGUCUUGACGGUACCUAAUCAAAAAGCCACGGCUAACUUCGUG